GAUGAACGCUGGCGGCGUGCCUAAUACAUGCAAGUCGAGCGAACAGACGAGGAGCUUGCUCCUCUGACGUUAGCGGCGGACGGGUGAGUAACACGUGGAUAACCUACCUAUAAGACUGGGAUAACUUCGGGAAACCGGAGCUAAUACCGGAUAAUAUAUUGAACCGCAUGGUUCAAUAGUGAAAGACGGUUUUGCCGUCACUUAUAGAUGGAUCCGCGCCGCAUUAGCUAGUUGGUAAGGUAACGGCUUACCAAGGCAACGAUGCGUAGCCGACCUGAGAGGGUGAUCGGCCACACUGGAACUGAGACACGGUCCAGACUCCUACGGGAGGCAGCAGUAGGGAAUCUUCCGCAAUGGGCGAAAGCCUGACGGAGCAACGCCACGUGAGUGAUGAAGGUCUUCGGAUCGUAAAACUCUGUUAUUAGGGAAGAACAAAUGUGUAAGUAACUAUGCACGUCUUGACGGUACCUAAUCAGAAAGCCACGGCUAACUACGUG
rnacentral:rRNA from 1 species